AGUGCAAUUGGUGGAUCAUAUUGUAGGAGUGGGUCUCGUUUUUUAAGAAAUCACCAUAUUAUCUUUCAAAGUGACAGUGUCAUUUUGCAUUCUCACCAUCAAU
rnacentral:pre_miRNA from 1 species